rnacentral:antisense_RNA from 1 species
ACGUUGCCAUGAUGUUCCGUGGCCCGGCCGUGGCUGGCGUGAUCCCACCAGAGUGAGCUGGAGCAGAUCUGCACCAUGAGCCAAGUUUCUCAGAAAAUAUAUGGCUGUCCUGUGGGCCGCAGCCUAAUGCCCACAUUCUUCUCGGGGCAGAUCAAAGGUUAUUCAACCAGGGCAAAGGACAGCCUUGCAAACCAACUACGUCCUCCUUCUGGAGUUUGUGUGACCCCUGGUCCCUGAGCCCGCACCCUCUCGGAGCGGGGUUCCAACUCCGUGGAAGCUCUGCUGAGAUGCAGAUGGCUUUGGAGGGGUGCAAAUGCUACGUGUUUGGAAGAGCAGGGGAGGCCUGCAGCUCUCAGUCACCUGUCUCCAUCUUCGGAGGAGGGAGUCGCGACCAAUGAAAUCCAUGCCCUAAGAAAGAAAGGAAACGCCGAGUCAUCCAGCAACACUCAGACCCUUGGCACAGAAAGCAGCACCGUGGGAAGGGUCCCCUGGUGUCACUGCAAUGGGGCACAGCUGCCUCCUCCCACAACCCUGUCAGCUUUU